UAUCAAAAACAUGUCCUUUUGUUUAUUGAUUUAAGGUCUGACCUGCCCAAUGAGUAAUUGAAUGGCCGCGGUAUUUUAACUGUGCUAAGGUAGCAUAAUCAUUUGUCUUUUAAUUGAAGGCUGGAAUGAAAGGUUGGACGAGACAUUAGCUUUCUUUAAUUUAAUAGUUUAAUUUAAUUUUUCAGUUAAAAAGCUGAAAUUUUUUCAGGGGACGAGAAGACCCUAUAGAUCUUAAUAAAAUAAGUAUUAAUUAAUUUAGGAGUUUAUAAUAGUUUAAUAUGUAAUUUUAUUUGAUUGGGGCGAUUCUAGAAUUAAUAUAACUUCUGGUUUAUAAAUUCAUUAAUUAGUGUUUAGUUGAUCCAUUUUUAUUGAUUAAAAGAUUAAGUUACCUUAGGGAUAACAGCGUAAUUCUUCCAGAGAGUCCACAUUAAUGGAAGAGUUUGCGACCUCGAUGUUGGAUUAAAAUAAGUGUUUGGUGCAGUAGCUGAAUUACUAGGUCUGUUCGACCUUUAAAUUUUUACAUGAUCUGAGUUCAAACCGGAGAAA
rnacentral:rRNA from 1 species